rnacentral:rRNA from 1 species
CCUACGGGAGGCUGCAGUGGGGAAUAUUGCACAAUGGGGGAAACCCUGAUGCAGCGACGCCGCGUGAGUGAAGAAGUAAUUCGUUAUGUAAAGCUCUAUCAGCAGGGAAGAAAAUGACGGUACCUGAGUCAGAAGCCCCGGCGAACUACGUGCCAGAAGCCGCGGUAAUACGUAGGGGGCAAGGGUUAUCCGGAUUUACUGGGUGUAAAGGGAGCGUAGACGGCAGGGCAAGUCUGGAGUGAAAGGCGGGGGCUCAAGCCCCGGACUGCUGUGUAAACUGUACGGCUGGAGUGCAGGAGAGGUAAGUGGAAUUCCUAGUGUAGCGGUGAAAUGCGUAGAUAUUAGGAGGAACACCAGUUGCGAAGGCGGCGUACUGGACUGUAACUGACGUUGAGGCGCGAAAGCGUGGGGAGCAAACAGGAUUAGAUACCCCUGUAGUC